rnacentral:piRNA from 1 species
UAGAUGGUCGCAGGGUAUGGGGAGA